rnacentral:lncRNA from 1 species
CCCAGGCUCCAGGACAGUGGGUGCUACACCCUCCUGGGCCUUCUGGACCCCUCCUUCUGCCUCCACCUGCCCAACCUGUCAGAGACAGAUCAUAGCUUAUUUUCUAUUUGUUCCUCCUGGAACACAGAUUUACCACGUACUUACAUUCAGAAUACCAAAAUGUCAGAGAGGUAAAAAAUGAUCCUGAUGUAGAGUGGAACAGCUGGAAUAUAAAUCCUAACCUGAACAUGAUUGCUGGAACAGUCUCCACUAUGAACCAGAAUGGACUUGCUGCCUUCUUGCAAAUGCAUGAAUGUAAAGGGUACAUGGUCAUGGAGGAAUUCUGUCAUUUUCCAGGAUAAGUCAAGCCUUGCUAUAUGACCUCAGGGCACCUGUAUCUCCUCCAGAGCAUGUUCUACCAUGAUAUUUAAUUUGAGUAUUAAUACUAGCUUUUUGGUCAUUGUUUUCCCUGCACUAAGCAUCUCUGUACCUCUACUUCCUAAUCCCCUUGCUUAAUUAUAGGUUUAUAGAAGGA